rnacentral:rRNA from 1 species
GUGAGAGCAGCUUGUGAGAAGGGAUAAUGGAAUAGGACCCUGUCCUUUUAUUUUCAGUUGGUUUUGGCAGCGCGAGGACUAGGGUAAUGAUUAAUAGGGAUAGUUGGGGGCAUUAAUAUUUAAUUGUCAGAGGUGAAAUUCUUGGAUUUAUGAAAGAUUAUUUCCCGCAAAAGCAUCUGCCAAGGAUGUUUUCAUUAAUCAAGAACGAAAGUUAGGGGAUCGAAGACGAUCAGAUACCGUCGUAGUCUUAACCAUAAACGAUGCCGACCAGCGAUUAGGAGACGUUGAAUACAAAACACCACCAUCGGCGCGGUCGUCCCUGGCUCGUCGUCUCACGACGGCGGGCGGGGGCGGUUUAGCCCGAUGGCACCGGUGAAUGACUCCCCUAGCAGCUUGUGAGAAUUUUUA